AUUAAUACACGCCUAAAACUAAUACAAUAUAAAUGGUUAAUGCGGACAUAUGUGACACCGGCAGGUCAAAAUUUGUACAGUAA